AGUGAGGUAAGGUGGAUAUGUUAAUAGCAUAUUCAUUUGACGUUAGCUGCAGAAGAAGCACCGGCUAACUCCGUGCCAGCAGCCGCGGUAAUACGGAGGGUGCGAGCGUUAAUCGGAAUUACUGGGCGUAAAGCGCAUGCAGGUGGUUGUUAAGUCAGAUGUGAAAGCCCGGGGCUCAACCUCGGAAUUGCAUUUGAAACUGGCAAACUAGAGUACUGUAGAGGGGGUAGAAUUUCAGGUGUAGCGGUGAAAUGCGUAGAGAUCUGAAGGAAUACCGGUGGCGAAGGCGGCCCCCUGGACAGAUACUGACACUCAGAUGCGAAAGCGUGGGGAGCAAAUAGGAUUAGAUACCCUCGGUAG
rnacentral:rRNA from 1 species